rnacentral:rRNA from 1 species
UACGUAGGUGGCAAGCGUUGUCCGGAUUUAUUGGGUUUAAAGGGUGCGUAGGCGGUCUAUUAAGUCAGUGCUGAAAUAUCCCGGCUUAACCGGGAGGGUGGCAUUGAUACUGAUGGACUUGAGUAAAGUUGAGGUUGGCGGAAUUGACGGUGUAGCGGUGAAAUGCUUAGAUAUCGUCAAGAACACCUAUUGCGAAGGCAGCUAACUAGCUUAAACUGACGCUGAGGCACGAAAAGUGUGGGGGAUCAAACAGG